rnacentral:rRNA from 1 species
UGGGGGAUAUUGCACAAUGGGCGAAAGCCUGAUGCAGCGACGCCGCGUGGGGGAUGAAGGCUUUCGGAUUAUAAACCUCUUUCGCUAUCGAACAAGGCCCGCUUAGGGUGGGUUGAGGGUAGGUGGAGAAGAAGCGCCGGCUAACUACGUGCCAGCAGCCGCGGUAAUACGUAGGGCGCGAGCGUUGUCCGGAAUUAUUGGGCGUAAAGGGCUUGUAGGCGGCUUGUUGCGCCUGCUGUGAAAACGCGGGGCUUAACUUCGCGCGUGCAGUGGGUACGGGCAGGCUUGAGUGUGGUAGGGGUGACUGGAAUUCCAGGUGUAGCGGUGGAAUGCGCAGAUAUCUGGAGGAACACCGAUGGCGAAGGCAGGUCACUGGGCCAUUACUGACGCUGAGGAGCGAAAGCAUGGGUAGCGAACAGG